rnacentral:rRNA from 1 species
UUACCAGGGCUUAACAUCCCCUGACAACCUGUGAAAGCAGGCCUUCUGGGCAACCAGACAGGGAGACAGGUGGUGCAUGGCUGUCGUCAGCUCGUGUCGUGAGAUGUUGGGUUGAGUCCCGCAACGAGCGCAACCCUCAUCAGGUGUUGCCAUCGGUUCGGCCGGGCACUCUCCUGAAACCGCCGGAGUAAUCCGGAGGAAGGUGGGGAUGACGCCAAGUCUGCAUGCCCCUUACGCCCUGGGCUGCACACGUGCUACAAUGGCCGGUACAAAGGGUUGCCAAGCCGCGAGGCGGAGCGAAUCCCAAAAAACCGGUCCCAGUUCGGAUCGGAUGUCUGCAACUCGACUCCGUGAAGCCGGAAUCGCUAGUAACCGUGGAUCAGCCACGCCACGGUGAAUACGUUCCCGGGCCUUGUACGCACCGCCCGUCAAGUCACGAAAGCUGGGGUCGCCCGAAGCCGAUGAGCUAACCCGCAAGGGAGGCGGUCGUCGAAGGUGACGCCAGUGAUUGGGACGAAGUCGUAACAAGGUAGCC